rnacentral:rRNA from 1 species
UAGUUCGAGAAGGAAGGUCCCCAAUUGGACUGAGAAACGUCCAUCCUACGGAGGCAGCAGGAGGAUAUUGUCAUGACGAGUCUGAUCAGCAGUAGCGUGCAGAUGACGCCUAUGGGUGUAAACUGCUUUUAUAUAGGGAUAAGUCGGGGACGUGUCCCCGUUGUAGGUACUAUAUGAAUAAGACGGCUAAUCCGUGCCAGCAGCCGCGGUAAUACGGAAAGGUCCAGGCGUAUCCGGAUUUAUUGGGUUUAAAGGGAGCGCAGGCUGAUGAUUAAGCGUGACGUGAAAUGUAGCCGCUCAACGGCUGAACUGCGUCGCGAACUGGUUAUCUUGAGUGAGUUCGAUGUUGGCGGAAUUCGUGGUGUAGCGGUGAAAUGCUUAGAUAUCACGAAGAACUCCGAUUGCGAAGGCAGCCAACAAGGCCUUUACUGACGCUAAAGCUCGAAGGUGCGGGUAUCGAACAGGAUUAGAUACCCUGGUAGUCCGCACGGUAAACGAUGGAUGCCCGCUGUUUGCGAUAUACUGUGAGCGGCCAAGAGAAAUCGUUAAGCAUCCCACCUGGGGAGUACGCCGGCAACGGUGAAACUCAAAGGAAUUGACGGGGGCCCGCACAAGCGGAGGAACAUGUGGUUUAAUUCGAUGAUACGCGAGGAACCUUACCCGGGCUUGAACUGCCAGCGAACGAUUCAGAGAUGAUGAGGUCCUUCGGGACGCUGGUGGAGGUGCUGCAUGGUUGUCGUCAGCUCGUGCCGUGAGGUGUCGGCUUAAGUGCCAUAACGAGCGCAACCCUUUUCUUUAGUUGCCAUCAGGUAAUGCUGGGCACUCUGGAGAUACUGCCACCGUAAGGUGUGAGGAAGGUGGGGAUGACGUCAAAUCAGCACGGCCCUUACGUCCGGGGCUACACACGUGUUACAAUGGGGGGUACAGAGAGUCGGUGCAUGGCAAUAUGCAUCUAAUCCUUAAAGCCUUCCUCAGUUCGGAUUGGGGUCUGCAACCCGACCCCAUGAAGCUGGAUUCGCUAGUAAUUGCGCAUCAGCCAUGGCGCGGUGAAUACGUUCCCGGGCCUUGUACACACCGCCCGUCAAGCCAUGAAAGCCGGGGGCGCUUGAAGUCCGUGACCGCAAGGAUCGGCCUAGAGCGAAACUGGUAAUUGGGGCUAAGUCGUAACAAGGUAGCCGUAAAUCACUGGCCGUCGUAACGGC